UCUCCUCCAAACUGAACGAUUUUCAUUUCCUCCCCCAACCUUUUUCUCUAUCCCUUUCCCUCCCUCUCUCUCUCCACCUCUGCCUCGUCGUCUCCGCCUUCCCCUCCGCUGACUCCACCGCCAACAUCCUCUCCUCCUUCUUUUCCUCCACCCACACCUCCGACCACUUCCACGUCAUCCGUUCCGAUCCCGUCCCUCACAAGAACUCCCACUGUCUUGCCCUCCGACAGAGGAGACGGCGUCGGAGAUGAAAGGAGGAGAUGCGUCGGAGAUGAAGGAGGAGACGGCGCCGAUCGAGCCCGAGGACGACGAUGGGUGAGGCGUUGACUCCUGUUUCCUUCUUUUUUUAAACGCGGCGACACCGCCUUUUCCGAUUCUGCGCUGCGGAGGCGCUCGGGGCGGUGCUGCGCGGCUCGAGGCGACGAUUCGGCGACGAUCCGCCUUAAUCAGUCCGCCUCGCACUAAUCGCCGCGUAUCCUCUCCGCCCAGCCGAUUUUUCCGCCUAGGCGGCCACAGAGGCACGCCUUCCCGAACACUGAUAACUAGUAAUUGUUAUUAUAACUAAUUAUGUGAAGAUAACUUAUCCAAUUAAGUAAUUAGUUGUAUGCUAAAAUAACUAGUUAUCUAUGUGUAUAACUAGUUAUUUAAUCUAUUAACUCGUUUUAAUCACUAGAUUUAUCACCCGUUCGUUUGUUGGUAUAUUUUGUUCAUUUUUCUAAAAAACAUUUGUGCAUACCAUUGACAAUAUAUCUUUGUUUAUGAAUGGAUCUCGAUUAGGGGUGGAAAUUGUGCAUGUUUUGAGUUAUCCCGAAUAAGCAUGGAUUUGAGUAUUUGUUACCCG
rnacentral:lncRNA from 1 species